UCCUGAAGGAACGUUGAAGACGACGACGUUGAUAGGCCGGGUGUGUAAGCGCAGCGAUGCGUUGAGCUGACCGGUACUAAUGAACCGUGAGGCUUAACCUUACAACGCCGAAGGUGUUU
rnacentral:rRNA from 1 species